rnacentral:rRNA from 1 species
AACGAUCGCUGGCGGCAUGCCUAACACAUGCAAGUCGAACGAAGGCUUCGGCCUUAGUGGCGCACGGGUGCGUAACGCGUGGGAAUCUGCCCCUCGGUUCGGAAUAACAGUUAGAAAUGACUGCUAAUACCGGAUGAUGACUUCGGUCCAAAGAUUUAUCGCCGAGGGAUGAGCCCGCGUAGGAUUAGCUAGUUGGUGGGGUAAUGGCCUACCAAGGCGACGAUCCUUAGCUGGUCUGAGAGGAUGAUCAGCCACACUGGGACUGAGACACGGCCCAGACUCCUACGGGAGGCAGCAGUGGGGAAUAUUGGACAAUGGGCGAAAGCCUGAUCCAGCAAUGCCGCGUGAGUGAUGAAGGCCUUAGGGUUGUAAAGCUCUUUUACCAGGGAUGAUAAUGACAGUACCUGGAGAAUAGGCUCCGGCUAACUCCGUGCCAGCCGCCGCCGUAACAC